rnacentral:tRNA from 1 species
CAGGACGUGGGAAAGUCGGGGCAUUCCGCCGGUUUCGGGAACCGGAGAUCGCUGGUUCAAAUCCAGCCGUCCUGA